rnacentral:rRNA from 1 species
UCGUAACAAGGUCUCCGUUGGUGAACCAGCGGAGGGAUCAUUACCGAGUUUACAACUCCCAAACCCCUGUGAACAUACCUUAUGUUGCCUCGGCGGAUCAGCCCGCGCCCCGUAAAAAGGGACGGCCCGCCGCAGGAACCCUAAACUCUGUUUUUAGUGGAACUUCUGAGUAUAAAAAACAAAUAAAUCAAAACUUUCAACAACGGAUCUCUUGGUUCUGGCAUCGAUGAAGAACGCAGCAAAAUGCGAUAAGUAAUGUGAAUUGCAGAAUUCAGUGAAUCAUCGAAUCUUUGAACGCACAUUGCGCCCGCCAGUAUUCUGGCGGGCAUGCCUGUUCGAGCGUCAUUUCAACCCUCAAGCCCAGCUUGGUGUUGGGAGCUGCAGUCCUGCUGCACUCCCCAAAUACAUUGGCGGUCACGUCGAGCUUCCAUAGCGUAGUAAUUUACAUAUCGUUACUGGUAAUCGUCGCGGCCACGCCGUUAAACCCCAACUUCUGAAUGUUGACCUCGGAUCAGGUAGGAAUACCCGCUGAACUUAAGCAUAUCAAUAAG